rnacentral:lncRNA from 1 species
UGAACUGACUGGGAUUGGGAGUUGUAACUGCAGAAUCUUCUCUGUGGAUGGGGGAAGACAUUGUGAGACACACCGGUGGCUGGUGACGGAGAACUCCUCCAAUCUCAGAACUCCAGUUUACACACAGAAAUGCAGCAUAAAUCACCCUCAGGAGAAAGCAGAUGGAUGAGACCUUGAGAAAUCCAAGGAAAUGCAAUUAUCCACUCCCUCUACUCAGUGUUCAGUGCACUCCUCCAUGUGACCUGGCUCUGCAGAGAAGCACUGAGUCAAGUAUAAACACAUGCUCAUCCUAACCAACCCAAAGGUAUCUCCAGCAUAAAUCGACACCAUCCGUGAGACAAGCAGCACAUCUCAAUUGACCCAUUCUCACCAAAGAAGGAGCUUUUAUUCCUGAAUCUUGGUUGUGACUUGUUGGAUAAAGGACGAUGUGUGUUUGGAAAUAAUUUUCCAUCAGCUCCAAGCUGAAGUGACCUUCAGUGUCUUACUUUGGAGGAAGUCAAGUACUAUGAUGAAAAUAACAAAUGGAAAUAGAGUAUAAUUUAUCACUAAAUAGGCCGACAUGUGGAAAGAUCCCUCCAGGCUCUUACAAAAGCAGGUGGCCUGGAUUCAGAGUGCAGAGGACGGCAGCAGAGGGCCCGAGGAGCCAGGACCUUGCCUGUCCUUGAAGGAAGCUCAGGAAGCUGGGCCACCCAGCAGUUCUCCUCUGUUCGUCAUACACCUGCCACCGAGGCUGCUCCCAACCUGGGGUGAGCAUCUCGGACCCUGAGGGUCAAGGUGUACAGGAUGGAGGACUAAGGGACCCAAGCUUGAGAAGGAUUUGUUUGAAGCACCUCUAUGAUCUGUGGCUUCUGGUUCUUCUGUCUGCAAGGGUUUGUUCAGUCAUGGAACAGUUUCUUCUCUUGGAUGAGCUCAAGAAGGAGUGUUUGGCAUAAUCCUGGUGCGAGGUGUGUGCCCUUGUUCUCUGAAUUUUUGUUGGGAACUAAGUGUGUCAGUGCGGUCCGGAACAUUCAUGAAAGUUUGAAUACAUGGCAUGUCAAUUGGGGAUUAUAA